UCUGGACGACUGAAAUAUACGUCGUCUGGACGACUGAAAUAUACGUCGUCCGUGUAAAUUAUUCAACAGACGACUGAAAUAUAAGUCGUCCACACCCUAAACAUAACCCCUAAACUUAUUUAUCUAAUUAAACACUUCAUAAAAUCAAAUCAAACUUGAAAAGUGUUUACUAUACACAGAAAUAAACACAUAUUGGUGAAAACUAAUUUUUGAAAAAAACAUU
rnacentral:lncRNA from 1 species